rnacentral:rRNA from 1 species
GUACGCUAUUCAGAGUUUGAUCCUGGCUCAGGACGAACGCUGGCGGCGUGCUUAACACAUGCAAGUCGAGCGGGGAUCGCAAACGGAAGUCUUCGGAUGGAAGGUUGUGAUUCUAGCGGCGGACGGGUGAGUAACGCGUGAGCAAUCUGUCCCAGACAGGGGGAUAACACUUGGAAACAGGUGCUAAUACCGCAUAAGACCACGAUAUCGCAUGGUACUGAGGUAAAAGGAGAAAUCCGGUUUGGGGUGAGCUCGCGUCCGAUUAGCUAGUUGGUGAGGUAACGGCCCACCAAGGCGACGAUCGGUAGCCGACCUGAGAGGGUGAUCGGCCACAUUGGAACUGAGACACGGUCCAA